rnacentral:rRNA from 1 species
UACAGAGGUCUCAAGCGUUGUUCGGAUUCAUUGGGCGUAAAGGGUGCGUAGGCGGCGCGGUAAGUCGGGUGUGAAAUCUUGGAGCUUAACUCCGAAACUGCAUUCGAUACUGCCGUGCUUGAGGACUGGAGAGGAGACUGGAAUUCACGGUGUAGCAGUGAAAUGCGUAGAUAUCGUAAGGAAGACCAGUGGCGAAGGCGAGUCUCUGGACAGCAACUGACGCUGAGGCACGAAGGCCAGGGGAGCAAACGGG